rnacentral:misc_RNA from 1 species
UUUCCGUAGGUGAACCUGCGGAAGGAUCAUUACUGAGUGAGGGCCCCUCGGGGUCCAACCUCUCACCCGUGUUUAACGAACCUUGUUGCUUAGGAGGGCCCGCCUCACCGCUGCCCGGGGGCAUUUGCCCCCGGGGCCGCGCCCGCCGAAGCCACCUGUGAACGCCGUCUGAAGUAUGCAGCCUGGGAUAAUUAAUAAAUUAAUUAAAACUUUCAACAACGGAACUCUUGGUUUCGGCAGCCAUGAAGAACGGAGCAGAUCGGAAGAGAAAAAUUUUGA